rnacentral:rRNA from 1 species
AGUGAACGCUGGCGGUAGGCCUAACACAUGCAAGUCGAACGGCAGCACAGUAAGAGCUUGCUCUUACGAGUGGCGAGUGGCGGACGGGUGAGGAAUACAUCGGAAUCUACUUUUUCGUGGGGGAUAACGUAGGGAAACUUACGCUAAUACCGCAUACGACCUACGGGUGAAAGCAGGGGAUCUUCGGACCUUGCGCGAUUGAAUGAGCCGAUGUCGGAUUAGCUAGUUGGCGGGGUAAAGGCCCACCAAGGCGACGAUCCGUAGCUGGUCUGAGAGGAUGAUCAGCCACACUGGAACUGAGACACGGUCCAGACUCCUACGGGAGGCAGCAGUGGGGAAUAUUGGACAAUGGGCGCAAGCCUGAUCCAGCCAUACCGCGUGGGUGAAGAAGGCCUUCGGGUUGUAAAGCCCUUUUGUUGGGAAAGAAAAGCAGCAGGUUAAUACCCCGCUGCUCUGACGGUACCCAAAGAAUAAGCACCGGCUAACUUCGUG